rnacentral:sRNA from 1 species
AUAUCUCUCCGUACGGGAAGGAUGAGAAGCUUCGACUAAGGUUCGAUUCGAGCGUCAGCGAGAAAGCGUUGCCGCAGGCAACGACCCGAAGGGCGAAGCGCGCAGCGCUGAGUCAUCCUUCCCCCACC